rnacentral:rRNA from 1 species
UGUCAAGGGGGGCGUGCUAUACAUGCAGUCGAGCGGACAGAUGGGAGCUUGCUCCCUGAUGUUAGCGGCGGACGGGUGAGUAACACGUGGGUAACCUGCCUGUAAGACUGGGAUAACUCCGGGAAACCGGGGCUAAUACCGGAUGGUUGUCUGAACCGCAUGGUUCAGACAUAAAAGGUGGCUUCGGCUACCACUUACAGAUGGACCCGCGGCGCAUUAGCUAGUUGGUGAGGUAACGGCUCACCAAGGCGACGAUGCGUAGCCGACCUGAGAGGGUGAUCGGCCACACUGGGACUGAGACACGGCCCAGACUCCUACGGGAGGCAGCAGUAGGGAAUCUUCCGCAAUGGACGAAAGUCUGACGGAGCAACGCCGCGUGAGUGAUGAAGGUUUUCGGAUCGUAAAGCUCUGUUGUUAGGGAAGAACAAGUGCCGUUCAAAUAGGGCGGCACCUUGACGGUACCUAACCAGAAAGCCACGGCUAACUACGUGCCAGCAGCCGCGGUAAUACGUAGGUGGCAAGCGUUGUCCGGAAUUAUUGGGCGUAAAGGGCUCGCAGGCGGUUUCUUAAGUCUGAUGUGAAAGCCCCCGGCUCAACCGGGGAGGGUCAUUGGAAACUGGGGAACUUGAGUGCAGAAGAGGAGAGUGGAAUUCCACGUGUAGCGGUGAAAUGCGUAGAGAUGUGGAGGAACACCAGUGGCGAAGGCGACUCUCUGGUCUGUAACUGACGCUGAGGAGCGAAAGCGUGGGGAGCGAACAGGAUUAGAUACCCUGGUAGUCCACGCCGUAAACGAUGAGUGCUAAGUGUUAGGGGGUUUCCGCCCCUUAGUGCUGCAGCUAACGCAUUAAGC